GGACACCAGUUCGGCCAGUUGAGAAAUCGCCCUCUGCAAGUGUGAAGCGACGGAGGACCAGAAGUAGUGCUCGGAGUAAGAAUAAGAGAUGUCCUUCCAUGGCGUUGGGGGGUACAUGAAGGCAGCAUUCUGGAUCUGGUCGUUAAUAUCCUCGUCCUCGUUGAAAGGGAACGUCCCGCUCAAGCUGACGUACACGAUGACUCCCACCGACCACAUGUCUAAGGAGCGGUUGUAGCCUUUGCUGCGCAGCACCUCAGGAGCCAGGUAGGCCGGAGUGCCCACCACAGAGCGCCGGAACGACUUCUCACCGAUGAUACGGGCAAAGCCAAAGUCACACAGCUUUACCUGGGAGAAACAACAUGGUCAACAUAUAGACACAUGUGUAUACAGACAUACCAGACACAUAAUGCUGCAAAUACUCAUUAUUUUUCAUUAGCCAUGCUGUGGAUUUUCUAGAGAUUAAAGGUAUGGUCCAUAAAAUGUCAAACAACAGUCAAAAAAGGGCUUUCAAAUUAUCCAAGUCCAAGGAGCGGUCUUUAAAUGUAUUGUUUUAUCACUUUAAUAUGAUAUUUAAUAGCAAAAAGCAAGAAAUCUCAAUAUUUAAGAGCUCAGACUAUUUUGCAAGACCAAUGUAUGGGACUAUAAUCAAUUAUCCUAAAUGACUUGUGUACAUAUCUUUCUAACACUUUUAUUUUUACAUUUCUUUACUUUUAUUAUUAGUGUUAUUCUUCUGUGAAUUCUUAUCUUUCCUAUCCUGUGUUUACCCUUAGUGCUGUUGCUGAUAAGACACCUGAAUCUCCCUUUGAGGAUCAAUAAAGGUUUAUCUUAUCAAAAGUAA